AGUGAACGCUGGCGGCAUGCCUAACACAUGCAAGUCGAACGGCCGCACAGUAAGAGUUUGCUCUUACGGGUGGCGACUGGCGGACGGGUGAGGAAUACAUCGGAUUCUACUUUUUCGUGGGGGAUAACGUAGGGCCACUUACGCUACUACCGCAUACAACCUACGGGAUAAUGCAAUGGAUCUUCGCACCUUUCCCGUUUCUUAUAGCCGAUUCCGGGUUAGCUUGGUGGCGGGGUAAAGGCCCAACAAGGCAACGAUCCGUUGCUUGUCUGACAGGAUGAUUCGGCAACCUGGAACUGAGACACGGUCCCGACCCCUACGGGAGGCAGCAGGUGGGAAUUUUCGGCAAUGGGCGGAAGCCUGACGCAGCCAAGCCCCGUGGGUGAAGAAGGCCUUCGGGUUGUAAAGCCCUUUUGUUGGGAAAGAAAAGCAGCAGGUUAAUCCCCCGCUGUUCUGACGGUACCCAAAGAAUAAGCACCGGCUAACUUCGUG
rnacentral:rRNA from 1 species